GUUUCGUAGGUUCGAGAUGAAGGGUUGGGCCGAUAGUGGCUAAAUCGAACCCAGAAGAGGAAAGCAAAACAGCUCGGUGAAAUUGAAGAAUAGAAACUCUUUUCCCAGACAUUAUUGGAUGUUCUCCCCUGAUUUCCACGUCCCUGGCUGGAUGAUCGUACCAAAGUUUGUGAUGAUUACAAGCAGGUAGAAUGGGAAAAAGAUGCUCGGCCACCAUGACCAAG
rnacentral:misc_RNA from 1 species